AAACGGUAGCUAAUACCGCAUAACGUCGCAAGACCAAAGAGGGGGACCUUCGGGCCUCUUGCCAUCGGAUGUGCCCAGAUGGGAUUAGCUAGUAGGUGGGGUAACGGCUCACCUAGGCGACGAUCCCUAGCUGGUCUGAGAGGAUGACCAGCCACACUGGAACUGAGACACGGUCCAGACUCCUACGGGAGGCAGCAGUGGGGAAUAUUGCACAAUGGGCGCAAGCCUGAUGCAGCCAUGCCGCGUGUAUGAAGAAGGCCUUCGGGUUGUAAAGUACUUUCAGCAGGGAGGAAGGCGAUAAGGUUAAUAACCUUGUCGAUUGACGUUACCCGCAGAAGAAGCACCGGCUAACUCCGUGCCAGCAGCCGCGGUAAUACGGAGGGUGCAAGCGUUAAUCGGAAUUACUGGGCGUAAAGCGCACGCAGGCGGUCUGUCAAGUCGGAUGUGAAAUCCCCGGGCUCAACCUGGGAACUGCAUUCGAAACUGGCAGGCUAGAGUCUUGUAGAGGGGGGUAGAAUUCCAGGUGUAGCGGUGAAAUGCGUAGAGAUCUGGAGGAAUACCGGUGGCGAAGGCGGCCCCCUGGACAAAGACUGACGCUCAGGUGCGAAAGCGUGGAGAGCAAACAGGAUUAGAUACCCUGGUAGUCCACGCCGUAAACGAUGUCGACCUGGAGGUUGUGCCCUUUGAGGCGUGGGCUUCCGGGACUAAACGGCGUUUAAGUCGACCCGCCUGGGGAGUACGGCCCGCAAGGGUUAAAACUCAAAUGAAUUGACGGGGG
rnacentral:rRNA from 1 species